UGCUAUUCCUCCGCUCACGGCGAUCAUUUGGUUUCGACGAGAGAUUUAUCCCACUAACAUUACAUUGGUCAUGGGGUGCUGGAGCCAGCUGUCUUCGGGCGAGAGGUGGGGUCCACCCUGGACCGGUCGCCAGCCAAUCACAGCUCAUGGGAACUCAUGAUGGUAAAAAGGAGUUUCCCAUCACCACUGUCACUGUCACCUCGUGAUAAGUCUUUCUCAAGCGAUACUGCAAAUUUUCAUAGCGUUCUGACACCAAAGCAAAUAAAGGUUCAGUGAACAAUUUCACCACUCUUCCAUGUUUUCACCAUUUGUGGAUAAUGGCUCUCGCUGUGGUUUGCUGGAGUCCCAAAGCUUUAGCAAUGGAUGUAUUCCCUUUUCUAGACUAAUAAAUCUCUGUUAAGUCAAGUUUUAACAAAGAGGGCAAACACUUCUUCACACAGGGCCAUUUAGCUUUAGAUUUUGUCUCCUUUAAUAAUAAAGUUUCAUUUAAAAAGUG